GCUGAAAUAGUUUAAAAGGUUAAAACAUACCACUCAUGACGGUAAAAAGAAGGUUCGAUUCCUUCUUUCGGCU
rnacentral:tRNA from 1 species